rnacentral:rRNA from 1 species
GACGAACGCUGGCGGCGUGCUUAACACAUGCCAGUCGAACGAUGAAGCCUAGCUUGCUAGGUGGAUUAGUGGCGAACGGGUGAGUAAUACGUGAGUAACCUACCUUUAACUCUGGGAUAAGCCUGGGAAACUGGGUCUAAUACCGGAUACGACCAAUCUCCGCAUGGGGUGUUGGUGGGAAGCGUUAUGUAGUGGUUAUAGAUGGGCUCACGGCCUAUCAGCUUGUUGGUGAGGUAACGGCUCACCAAGGCGACGACGGGUAGCCGGCCUGAGAGGGUGACCGGCCACACUGGGACUGAGACACGGCCCAGACUCCUACGGGAGGCAGCAGUGGGGAGUAUUGCACAAUGGGCGCAAGCCUGACGCAGCGACGCCGCGUGAGGGAUGACGGCCUUCGGGUUGUAAACCUCUGUUAGCAGGGAAGAAGAGAGAUUGACGGUACCUGCAGAGAAAGCGCCGGCUAACUACGUG